rnacentral:rRNA from 1 species
CCAACAGGGAUUGCCUCAGUAACGGCGAGUGAAGCGGCAACAGCUCAAAUUUGAAAUCUGGCCCCCCGGCCCGAGUUGUAAUUUGCAGAGGAUGCUUCUGGCGCGGUGCCUUCCAAGUCCCCUGGAACGGGGCGCCAUAGAGGGUGAGAGCCCCGUCGGGUCGGCCGCCAAGCCUGUGUGAAGCUCCUUCGACGAGUCGAGUAGUUUGGGAAUGCUGCUCUAAACGGGAGGUAGACCCCUUCUAAAGCUAAAUACCGGCCAGAGACCGAUAGCGCACAAGUAGAGUGAUCGAAAGAUGAAAAGCACUUUGAAAAGAGGGUUAAACAGUACGUGAAAUUGUUGAAAGGGAAGCGCUUGUGACCAGACGUGCGCCGGGUGUUCAGCGGGCGUUUUCGCCCGUGCAUUCGCCCCGGCGCAGGCCAGCGUCGGUUUGGGCGGGGGGAUAAAGGCGCCAGGAACGUAUCUCCCCCGGGAGUGUUAUAGCCUGGUGCGUCAUGCCCCCGCCUGGACCGAGGUUCGCGCUCCGCAAGGACGCUGGCGUAAUGGUCCCCAGCGGCCCGUCUUGAAACACGGACCAAGGAGUCGAGGUUUUACGCGAGUGUCUGGGUGUCAAACCCGCACGCGUAAUGAAAGUGAACGUAGGUGGGAGCUUCGGCGCACCACCGACCGAUCCUGAUGUUUUCGGAUGGAUUUGAGUAGGAGCGUAGGGCCUCGGACCCGAAAGAUGGUGAACUAUACUUGGAUAGGGUGAAGCCAGAGGAAACUCUGGUGGAGGCUCGCAGCGGUUCUGACGUGCAAAUCGAUCGUCAAAUCUGAGUAUGGGGGCGAAAGACUAAUCGAACCAU